AACUUUCCACCACCGAAUCUCUGGUUCCCCCCUUCAUUAAAAACCCCACCAAAUGGCAAUCCCUAGGGGGAUUGGCACCCUUCGGAAACCUCCAAUUCCUUGACCCCCCUUGGCCCCCGCCGGCUUCCCGGGGGGCUUGCCGGCCGAACCGGCUUUC
rnacentral:rRNA from 1 species